UUUGCGCGCUAUCGGUGCCAACGAAGGUCCUGGAUGAACAAUAGGAGAAGGGGGCGUCAAGCUGCACCGAGUAGAGCUUCACCCCGGAAGGUGCAACAUUGGACUUUCGUGCAAUUUCAACACUGGCUUCUGCUCGUGGAGCGUCUCCUACUCCGGGAAAACUGUCUGGUACAUCAAACCGCAUGCAGAUGAAAAUGAAAGCGGAAGACACGCUGCUGUGUCCAUGGGAGGGAAUCCAGACGAUUCCACAUCACUCACCAGUGACAUCAUAUCCACUCCUGAAGCGAGAGCUCUGACAUUCAGGUACAGGGUCGUAGGGACCAGCGGGUGUCUAUCUGUAAGUCAGCGGGUGAUCGGUGCCGGUGAAGGAGGUGAUUAUGAGAGUGCCACCACCACCGUUAUUUGGCAUCAGUGCCGAGGCAAGGGACUUGAGUGGCUCCGGGAAUGCG